GGAAUAUUGGACAAUGGGCGAAAGCCUGAUCCAGCAAUGCCGCGUGUGUGAAGAAGGCCUGCGGGUUGUAAAGCACUUUCAGUAGAGAAGAAAAGCCUACGGUUAAUACCCGUGAGUCUUGACGUAACCUACAGAAGAAGCACCGGCUAACUCUGUGCCAGCCGCCGCGGUAAUACAGAGGGUGCAAGCGUUAAGCGGAAUUACUGGGCGUAAAGCGCGCGUAGGUGGUUUGUUAAGUUGGAUGUGAAAGCCCCGGGCUCAACCUGGGAACUGCAUCCAAAACUGGCAAGCUAGAGUACGGUAGAGGGUGGUGGAAUUUCCUGUGUAGCGGUGAAAUGCGUAGAUAUAGGAAGGAACACCAGUGGCGAAGGCGACCACCUGGACUGAUACUGACACUGAGGUGCGAAAGCGUGGGGAGCAAAC
rnacentral:rRNA from 1 species